GACGAACGCUGGCGGCGUGCCUAAUACAUGCAAGUCGAGCGAAUCUUUGGGAGCUUGCUUCCAUUGGUUAGCGGCGGACGGGUGAGUAACACGUGGGCAACUUGCCUGUAAGACUGGGAUAACACCGGGAAACCGGUGCUAAUACCGGAUAAUCCUUUCCUACACAUGUAGGAAAGCUGAAAGACGGUUUCGGCUGUCACUUACAGAUGGGCCUGCGGCGCAUUAGCUAGUUGGUGAGGUAACGGCUCACCAAGGCAACGAUGCGUAGCCGACCUGAGCGGGUGCUCGGCCACACUGUGACUGAGACACGGCCCAGACUCCUACGGGAGGCAGCAGUAGGGAAUCUUCCGCAAUGGACGAAAGUCUGACGGAGCAACGCCGCGUGAGCGAUGAAGGCCUUCGGGUCGUAAAGCUCUGUUGUUAGGGAAGAACAAGUAUCGGAGUAACUGCCGGUACCUUGACGGUACUUAACCAGAAAGCCACGGCUAACUACGUGCCAGCAGCCGCCGUAACAC
rnacentral:rRNA from 1 species